ACAUGGUUUCAUUUGAAAAUACAAACACUCUGAGAAUUAUCUGAAUUCAAAAUACUUUCACCAGAAUCAAAUUUCUUAAGCUUUUUAGCUAUCUCAUCAAAAUGGCUUGUGGAUGUGGUUCUACUUGUGCCUCUAACUGCGGCUGUGGAUGCAAGUCCGCUGCUAAGGAAAACCUCGAGGGAGGAUGCAAGUGCGGAGACAGCUGCUCAUGUACCGACUGCAAGUGUUAAUGAAGAAAAUGAUGAAGAUCCCUGACAUCAUUUUAUUAUGGUAUGGUUGGUUUGUAUGUUUCUUUGGUGUUAAAUAAAGUAGCUAUCGUUAGCAAUACUUGAGCUUAAGUGUUGUUUAUAUAUUCCUAGCUACACAGUGUUUGUAUGUGCAAAACAGGAAAAAGAAAUUGUUUUGUUGUGUUGUGUUGUGUAAAAGUGGUAAUGGCUAAUGGGAGAUGUUUCACUCCUGCGGAUUUCAUAAUAAUAUUAUUACUGUCUCCUUUUUUCUUUGGA